UGUGCACUACUGUGGUUGACUAUAAUGCAGUCCUCAGAUUGGUUCACUUAGGGAAAUACUUUCCCAACCAUGUUCUAGGACAGACUUUUGUAAAGUGAAUUAAAUGUUCUUUUGACUGCCAUUUAAAUUCCUAUGUGUGUACAUAAAAAUAUACAUAUAUAUACACGCCAUUUUUUAAAGAGAUAUUGCCUAGACUGGGCCUGAACUCCUGGGUUCAAGCAAUCUUCUGGCCUCAGCCUCCCAAGUAGCUGGGACUACAGGCACAUGCCAUUGUGCCUGGUCUAUGCACUUUUUAUUUUGGAGUAAUUGAAGACUGAAGACUCUCAAGCAGUUGCAAAAUUAGUACAGAAGAAAAAAAAUAGUGCAGAGGAUUUUCACCCAGUUUCCCCCAAUGAUAAUGUUGAACUUCACCAUUGCACAUCAUUAAAACAGGAAAUCGACAUUGGCACAGGACUGUUCGCACCAACACUGACCACGUUCGGAUUUCACCAGCGUUUCCAUGCAUGCCUGUUGUUGGGAGUGUGUGAUGCCUUGAUCACUGUAUUUUUGGAACUGCAUUCCACAGCCCCUGUUGUCCCUUCUUGUUCUGGCCCUCCACAGUGGUGAAGAAGGGAGUUUUACGUAGCCCAGGCACUCACUUUGUUAUGCCAUGUGACAUGCUUUGCUUCCCCCACCUGCAUUUUCAUUGAGGACUGGGCAGAAAUAAAUUGGGGGAGAUGUGUGAUUCUCUCUCACUCUCUGUUUUCCUUCCUUUCUGGUCCAGAUCAUGUUUCACUCCUUCGGCAACAAGCAAGGGCCCCAGCACGGGAUGCUGAUCAAUACUCCCUACGUCACCAAGGAUCUGCUCCAGGCCAAGCGAUUCCAGGCCCAGACCCUGGGAACCACCUACAUCUAUGACUUCCCGGAAAUGUUCAGGCAGGCUCUCUUUAAACUGUGGGGCUCCCCAGACAAGUAUCCCAAAGACAUCCUGACAUACACUGAAUUAGUGUUGGACUCUCAGGGCCAGCUGGUGGAGAUGAACCGACUUCCUGGUGGAAAUGAGGUGGGCAUGGUGGCCUUCAAAAUGAGGUUUAAGACCCAGGAGUACCCAGAAGGACGGGACGUGAUCGUCAUCGGCAACGACAUCACCUUUCGCAUUGGAUCCUUUGGCCCUGGAGAGGACCUUCUGUACCUGCGGGCAUCCGAGAUGGCCCGGGCAGAGGGCAUUCCCAAAAUUUACGUGGCAGCCAACAGUGGCGCCCGUAUUGGCA
rnacentral:sRNA from 1 species